rnacentral:rRNA from 1 species
CCUACGGGCGGCAGCAGUGGGGAAUAUUGGACAAUGGGGGCAACCCUGAUCCAGCCAUGCCGCGUGUGUGAAGAAGGCCCUCGGGUUGUAAAGCACUUUCAGUGAGGAAGAACGCCUGGUGGUUAAUACCCAUCAGGAAAGACAUCACUCACAGAAGAAGCACCGGCUAACUCCGUGCCAGCAGCCGCGGUAAUACGGAGGGUGCGAGCGUUAAUCGGAAUUACUGGGCGUAAAGCGCGCGUAGGUGGCUUGAUAAGCCGGUUGUGAAAGCCCCGGGCCCAACCUGGGAACGGCAUCCGGAACUGUCAAGCUAGAGUGCAGGAGAGGAAGGUAGAAUUCCCGGUGUAGCGGUGAAAUGCGUAGAGAUCGGGAGGAAUACCAGUGGCGAAGGCGGCCUUCAGGACUGACACUGACACUGAGGUGCGAAAGCGUGGGUAGCAAACAGGAUUAGAUACCCCGGUAGUC